rnacentral:rRNA from 1 species
UACGUAGGGUGCAAGCGUUGUCCGGAAUUAUUGGGCGUAAAGAGCUCGUAGGCGGUUUGUCGCGUCUGCUGUGAAAACCCGCGGCUCAACCGCGGGCCUGCAGCCGAUACGGGCAGGCUAGAGUUCGGGUAGGGGGAGACUGGAAUUCCUGGUGUAGCGGUGAAAAUGCGCAGAUAUCAAGGAGGAACACCCGAUGGCGAAGGCAGGGUCUCUGGGCCGAUACUGACGCUGGAGGAGCGAAAGC